rnacentral:rRNA from 1 species
AAAACUUUCAACAGCGGAUCUCUUGGCUCUGGCAUCGAUGAAGAACGCAGCGAAAUGCGAUAAGUAAUGUGAAUUGCAGAAUCCAGUGAAUCAUCGAAUCUUUGAACGCACAUUGCGCCCGCCAGCAUUCUGGCGGGCAUGCCUGUUCGAGCGUCAUUU